UACGUAGGGGGCGAGCGUUGUCCGGAAUGACUGGGCGUAAAGGGUGCGUAGGCGGCCCGAGAGGUCCUGGGUGAAAGGCCCCGGCUCAACCGGGGAGUGCCCCAGGAAACCGGCGGGCUAGAGGGCUGGAGAGGGCCGCGGAAUUCCCGGUGUAGCGGUGAAAUGCGUAGAUAUCAGGAGGAAUACCAGUGGCGAAGGCGACCCCCUGGGCCAAUACUGACGCUGAGGUACGAAAGCGUGGGUAGCGAACAGG
rnacentral:rRNA from 1 species